rnacentral:misc_RNA from 1 species
UUUCCGUAGGUGAACCUGCGGAAGGAUCAUUAAUGAAUUUAAGGGUGUCCUCUUCAUCAGAGGGACCCGACCUUCAUUUCCAACCCUGUGAACAUAAAUACGAGGGAUUGCGCAAGCAAAUACCUCUUCAUUUUAAACUCUACAAGUCUAAGAAUGUAAACAAACCUAAAACAAAAUAAAACUUUCAACAACGGAUCUCUUGGCUCUCGCAUCGAUGAAGAACGCAGC